rfam:Dipodomys ordii ctg_broad_rename0037777, whole genome shotgun sequence.
ACUUUAUUAGGAUAAUAGUAAUCCAUUGGUCUUAGGAACCCAAAAAUUUGGUGCAACUCCAAACUAAAGUA